UACGAGGGGUGCAAACGUUGCUCGGAAUCAUUGGGCGUAAAGCGCACGUAGGCGGCUUAGCAAGUCGGAUGUGAAAUCCCUCGGCUCAACCAAGGAAGUGCAUCCGAAACUGCUGAGCUUGAGUACGAAAGAGGAUCGCGGAAUUCCCGGUGUAGAGGUGAAAUUCGUAGAUAUCGGGAGGAACACCAGUGGCGAAGGCGGCGAUCUGGGUCGAUACUGACGCUGAGGUGCGAAAGCGUGGGGAGCAAACAGG
rnacentral:rRNA from 1 species